GACGAACGCUGGCGGCGUGCUUAACACAUGCAAGUCGAACGGAAAGGCCCUGCUUUUGUGGGGUGCUCGAUUGGCGAACGGGUGAGUAACACGUGAGUAACCUGCCCUUGACUUUGGGAUAACUUCAGGAAACUGGGGCUAAUACCGGAUAGGAUCUCCUGCUGCACGGUGGGGGUUGGAAAGUUUCGGCGGUUGGGGAUGGACUCGCGGCUUAUCAGCUUGUUGGUGGGGUAGUGGCUUACCAAGGCUUUGACGGGUAGCCGGCCUGAGAGGGUGACCGGCCACAUUGGGACUGAGAUACGGCCCAGACUCCUACGGGAGGCAGCAGUGGGGAAUAUUGCACAAUGGGCGGAAGCCUGAUGCAGCAACGCCGCGUGCGGGAUGACGGCCUUCGGGUUGUAAACCGCUUUCGCCUGUGACGAAGCGUGAGUGACGGUAAUGGGUAAAGAAGCACCGGCUAACUACGUG
rnacentral:rRNA from 1 species